rnacentral:rRNA from 1 species
GACGAACGCUAGCGGCAGGCCUAACACAUGCAAGUCGAGGGGUAGAAGUUGCGUGCAACUUUGAGACCGGCGCACGGGUGCGUAACGCGUAUGCAAUCUACCUUGUACAGAGGGAUAGCCCAGAGAAAUUUGGAUUAAUACCUCAUAGUAUUUUCAAGUGGCAUCACUUGAUUAUUAAAGUUCCAACGGUACAAGAUGAGCAUGCGUCCUAUUAGCUAGAUGGUAAGGUAACGGCUUACCAUGGCUACGAUAGGUAGGGGUCCUGAGAGGGAGAUCGCCCGCACUGGUAGUGGGACACGGACCAGGGUCCUGCGGGAGGCAGCAGAGAGGAAUAUUGGUCAGUGGGCGCAAGCCUGAACCGACCAUGGCGCGUGCAGGAAGGCGGUGCUAUGGAAUGUAAACUGCUUUUGUACGGGAAGAAACACUCCCUCGUGGGAGAGCUUGACGGUACCGUAAGAACAAGGAUCGGCUAACUCCGUGCCAGCAGCCGCGGUAACAC